AAACCAGCACCUCAAGUGGUCAGGAGGAUUAUUGGGCCUAAAGCAUCCGUAGCCUGCUGCAUAAGUUUUCGGUUAAAUCCAUACGCUCAACUAAUGGGCCGCCGAAAAUACUGUAGAACUAGGGAGUGGGAGAGGUAGACGGUAUUCGGUAGGAAGGGGUAAAAUCCUUUGAUCUAUUGAGGACCACCUGUGGCGAAGGCGGUCUACCAGAACACGUUCGACGGUGAGGGAUGAAAGCUGGGGGAGCAAACCGGAUUAGAAACCCGGGUAGUCC
rnacentral:rRNA from 1 species